AGUGAACGCUGGCGGUAGGCCUAACACAUGCAAGUCGAACGGCAGCACAGUAAGAGCUUGCUCUUACGGGUGGCGAGUGGCGGACGGGUGAGGAAUACAUCGGAAUCUACUUUUUCGUGGGGGAUAACGUAGGGAAACUUACGCUAAUACCGCAUACGACCUACGGGUGAAAGCAGGGGAUCUUCGGACCUUGCGCGAUUGAAUGAGCCGAUGUCGGAUUAGCUAGUUGGGGGGGUAAAGGCCCACCAAGGCGACGAUGCGUAGCUGGUCUGAGAGGAUGGACCGCCCCACUGGGACUGAGACACGGUCCCGACCCCCACGGGGGGGAGCAGUGGGGAAUAUUGGGCAAUGGGGGAAAGCCCGAACCAGCCCAGACGGGGGAGGGAAGAAGGCCCUUGGGGUGUAAAACCCUUUUUUUUGGGAAAAAAAAACGUGGGGUUAAACCCCCGCUUUUUGACGGGACCCAAAAAAAAAGGCACCGCUAAAUUCGUG
rnacentral:rRNA from 1 species